rnacentral:rRNA from 1 species
GCGGCCUUGGAGGGGUUUACGUUACAUUAGUUAGUAGGAGGGGUAACGGCUCACCUAGGAGACGAUCUGUAGCCGAUCUGAUAGGCGGAUCUGCCACACUGGGAAUGAGACACGGCCCAGACUCCUAUGCGGGGCAGCAGUAGGGAAUUUUGCACAAUGGGAGUAACUAUGAUCCAGCAACGUUUACGGCACGAAGAAGGCUUUCGGGUUGUAAAGUUCUGUUGUAUGGGAUGAACCAGUAUGUCAUAAAAUUUCGGCCCAUUGAUGGUACCGUAAGAGGAAGCUCCGGCUAAUUACUUGGCAGCAGCUGUGGUAAUAGGUAGGGGGCAAGCGUUAUUCGUAAUUAUUGGGCGUAAAGACCAUGCAGGCGGUCUCUAAGUCACGUGUGAAAUGCCCGGGAUCAGCCGUGGACACGCUUUCGUAAUUGGAACGCAUGGGUAGUGGAGAGCGCGAUCGGAAUUGGUAUGUUAGCGUGUAGAAGAUGUAUCCGUGCGGAGGAACACCCGUGGUGAACUCGCCAACGGGGUCAAGCACUUACGUUCA